CUGCUGCGCGUACCUACAGGUACUUCCAUUACGAGAAGUGAAAUUGGGAAGUCAUUCCAACCUACAAUGGUUUGAAGCUAACACCGCCCCCGCAACGGUGAAUAGUUAUUUAUAACUUAAGUCCAGAGACCGGCCUGAAGCAAGUCCAACAU
rnacentral:ncRNA from 2 species